UAGACCCGAAACCGGGUGAUCUAUCCAUGAGCAGGUUGAAGCAAGGGUAAAGCCUUGUGGAGGACCGAACCGUCAACGGCUGAAAACGUUCCGGAUGACUUGUGGAUAGGGGUGAAAGGUCAAUCAAACCCGGUGAUAGCUGGUUCUCCCCGAAAUAUAUUGAGGUAUAGCCUCGGGAAUUGAUUAGCGGAGGUAAAGCACUGACAGAGCUAGGGGUCCUACCAGAUUACCAAACUCUAUCAAACUCAGAAUGCCGCUUAAUUGUAUCCCGGGAGUCAGACGGCGGGUGCGAAGGUUCGUCGUCAAAAGGGAAACAGCCCAGACCAACAGCUAAGGUCUCCAAAUCCAUGCUCAGUGGUGAAGGUAGUGGAACCGUUUAGACAGCCAGGACGUUGGCUUAGAAGCAGCCAUCGUUUAAAGAAAGCGUAAUAGCUCACUGGUCUAAUGGCUCUGCGCCGAAAAUGUAACGGGGCUAAGCAUGGUACCGAAGCUUUGGCAAUCUCCUUUGGAGAUUGGGUAGGGGAGCGUUCGCUGCGGGCUGAAGGUGUGCCGGAAGGCAUGCUGGACUGCAGUGAAGUGAUUAUGCUGACAUGAGUAACGAUAAAAUAUGUGAAAAACAUAUUCGCCGAAAACCCGAGGUUUCCUGGGUAAAGGUAAUCUUCCCAGGGUUAGUCGGAUCCUAAGGUGAGGGUGAAAGCCGUAACCGAUGGAAAACAGGUUAAUAUUCCUGUACUUGUUGUGUAGCGCGAUGGAGGGACGCAGGAAGAUAGGCGGGCCGGGUGUUGGAUAUCCCGGUGCAAGCGUGUAGGAAUAUCCGGUAGGCAAAUCCGCCGGACGAAUCUGAGACGCGAGUCCGUGGGCGCAAGCCCUGAAGCCGUUGAGUCUAUGCUGCCUAGAAAAGCUCCUAAGUUUAUCCACAGCAAUCCGUACCGCAAACCAACUCAGGUGGGUGGGAUGAACAAUCCAAGGCGCUCGAGAGAACUCUGGCCAAGGAACUCGGCAAAAUAACCCCGUAACUUCGGAAGAAGGGGUGCUCUCUAGGGUGACAUGUUUAACAUAUGAAGCCCCGGGGAGCCGCAGUGAAUUGGUGGUGGCGACUGUUUACUAAAAACAUAGGUCUGUGCGAAGUCCUAAAGACGACGUAUACGGACUGACGCCUGCCCGGUGCUGGAAGGUUAAAAGGAGGGGUCAGCGCAAGCAAAGCUCCGAAUUGAAGCCCCAGUAAACGGCGGCCGUAACAAUAACGGUCCUAAGGUAGCGAAAUUCCUUGUCGGGUAAGUUCCGACCUGCACGAAUGGCGUAACGAUCUCCACACUGUCUCGGCCAGAGACUCGGUGAAAUUGCAGUCGCGGUGAAAAUUCCGUGUACCCGCAGAAAGACGGAAAGACCCUGUGCACCUUUACUAUAGCUUGACAUUGGAUUUUGGGCCUGCAUGUGUAGGAUAGGUGGGAGGCUGUGAACCCUGUACGCCAGUAUGGGGGGAGCCAUCCUUGAAAUACCACCCUUGCAUGUUUAAGAUCCUAACUUCUUCCGGUUAUCCCGGAGAAAGACAGUGUCUGGCGGGUAGUUUGACUGGGGCGGUCGCCUCCUAAAGUGUAACGGAGGCAUGCAAAGGUUCCCUCAGCCUGAUCGGAAACCAGGCGCUGAGUGCAAACGCAUAAGGGAGCUUGACUGUAAGAGAGACAUCUCGAACAGGAACGAAAGUUGGCGUUAGUGAUCCGGUGGUCCCGAAUGGAAGGGCCAUCGCUCAUUGGAUAAAAGGUACGCCGGGGAUAACAGGCUGAUCGCAUCCAAGAGUUCACAUCGACGAUGCGGUUUGGCACCUCGAUGUCGGCUCAUCACAUCCUGGGGCUGAAGCAGGUCCCAAGGGUACGGCUGUUCGCCGUUUAAAGUGGUACGCGAGCUGGGUUUAAAACGUCGUGAGACAGUUUGGUCCCUAUCUUCUGUGGGCG
rnacentral:rRNA from 1 species